CGAAUCAUGAGAUCAGGGAAGAAUCCCAACCCAAAUAAUGGCGGAAAAGAAGAAUUUCUCCACCCCCUUUCCGCCGACCUCCCCUUCACUCAGUGCUUCAAAUCUGCGCGCCAAGCCGCUCUCCUCCGGUACAGCUGCUCCAAGGACCGCGAUCUCUACGUCGCCGGCGAUUUGUACGACAACGAAGUCCUCACUCCUGCCGUAAUCGUUGUUCCUCGCCGCCGUGGGAAGGCAGUGUAUCCUAGAGAGAGAGGGGAAGAAUCAGAAAGGUGCGUGGGUGGAAUGCUUCUUUCAUUGUCAAAUCUGACAAACACGAUUUGAAUUCGAGCUUGGAUCAAGGGGUUUCCGGUCAAUCCAGCUCGGCUUCGCCGUUUCGUUUCUCCAGCGUGAUCCCCGGCCACCGGAGGAAGCAGAUUCGGUCGUUCUCGGUGGACGAGAGCUCGAUCGGAGCGCAACAGAGAUCGUGCUAGAACUGCGACCGCGGAAUCUCGCCGGCAAGAUGCUCCAACGAGGAGGAGGACGAGCAUUGCCACGUAGGAUCGAGCAGCUACUCGUCGGAGUCGCCGCAGGGGUGGAGGCAGACGCCGCGGAGGACUCCGGCGGCCGGAUGAGCAUUGCACACUUGUGUUUUAAAGAAGACUUAUCCCAAUCCGCUACGCUUCAAUCCUGCUUGCUCUGUUGCUAAGCAGUAUUUCGUCGACAUGGAUGAUAGUGUACCUCAAAAGGUGGGCACACUUGUGUUUUAAAGAAGGUUUGAAAUGUCGGAUGGCUGUAUUUGUUUCGAUGAUUUCAGCGCAGCAGAGAUCGUGCUAGAAUUGCGACCGCGGAAUGUCGCCGGCAAGAUGCUCCAACGAGGAGGAGGACGAGCAUUGCCACGUAGGAUCGAGCGGCUACUCGUCGGAGUCGUCGCAGGGGUGGAGGCAGAUGCCGCGGAGGACUCCAGCGCGUGCGCGGCGGUGGGGAGGCGACGACGGCCAAAAUCAGAACUUCUAGGAUUGACAUUUUGCUUGAGUCCUCUGGUCCGAGCCAGCCUAAUGCUGAUGCGGUCAGCUAUUACGCGGUCGUCAUCACCAAUUACGGCCCUGGACUCGCUGUCGGCGGCCUCGAUUCACUCAUCGCUUUCUUCGUCCUCGUGCUUUUCCAUUAUCAUGUAUUCAAAUACAGGAUUUUCAUUUUUAUUUGUUUCAAAAUAUGAUGCUAUCCUGCUUGUGAAAUUUUGAAUUCAAUGAUUUGUGGAGUUUGAUCCGUCCAUUUCUUCAA